GAUGAACGCUGGCGGCGUGCCUAAUACAUGCAAGUCGAGCGAACAGAUAAGGAGCUUGCUCCUUUGACGUUAGCGGCGGACGGGAGAGUAACACGUGGGUAACCUACCUAUAAGACUGGGAUAACUUCGGGAAACCGGAGCUAAUACCGGAUAACAUUUGGAACCGCAUGGUUCUAAAGUGAAAGAUGGUUUUGCUAUCACUUAUAGAUGGACCCGCGCCGUAUUAGCUAGUUGGUAAGGUAACGGCUUACCAAGGCGACGAUACGUAGCCGACCUGAGAGGGUGAUCGGCCACACUGGAACUGAGACACGGUCCAGACUCCUACGGGAGGCAGCAGUAGGGAAUCUUCCGCAAUGGGCGAAAGCCUGACGGAGCAACGCCGCGUGAGUGAUGAAGGGUUUCGGCUCGUAAAACUCUGUUAUUAGGGAAGAACAAAUGUGUAAGUAACUGUGCACGUCUUGACGGUACCUAAUCAGAAAGCCACGGCUAACUACGUG
rnacentral:rRNA from 1 species